rnacentral:pre_miRNA from 1 species
CGGGGGAGCAGGGUCCGGGCUGUGUCCCCCGCGCCCUGGGCUCCGGGGCCUGCGCCGCUGGAAUCGCGCUCCCGGGCCGCGGCCCCCG